AUUUAUUUUCAUCUAACAUUUUUGCUUUUUUUCUGAAUCUUCUAAUAAUAUUUUCGUUUAAAUAGAAUCUAAAAAAUAAUAUUUGAAAUCCUCUAUAUAUUAAAAGAGGGAUGGUUAAUAUUUCAUUCUAUAUUAUUAGGCUACUAUUUGGACUCUUUUGUAUUGUUUCUUUUUUUAUUGGUGCCAACUUAAUUCUACCACUAAAAGUCGAUUUUCUAUUUAUUUAUUUUUCGUCAUUCUUGUUACUCUAGCCAUGGAAAUGGAAACAAACGGAAACUAGACAGAGAAAAUUAUUAUUGUUACUAAUAAUAAAUGAAUUCGUCGCCGUCGAAUAUCAACUCAAUGUUUGUUUUUUGGGAUGUGUAAUCCUCAAAUAUGCCUCACGGCUACAUCAAAGAAGAGAUACUGUGUAGCCUUAGUGUAUUUUAAGCACCAAUGGAUUUCACAGAGUUGUAGCAAUUAUUUGGUGGUCUGAACUCGACAUUACACAAGGCUUCCAAUACAUAUACAGAAUUCCCUUUCCACGAUAGAUUUUUUAAAUACUACUUAUAUGCUUUUUUCGUUUUCAGUUAUUAAAUUAGCUCAAGGUGUUUGAGUAUUUUGGUUGGUUCCAUUAAGGAACCAAAAUACAUUUUUUAUUCAAAUUUCAUUCGGUUCAGGUAGGUUUAAGAAACUGACUCAAUAACUAAGUAGGAUUUGAAAGUUUUCUAAGUAUUUUUCGGUUUAGCUUUAAGAUAUCUGAAAAACCAAACUAUUUUGGGAUAUAUGUAUUAGGAUUUUCUGUUUUUUAUUUGAGUAAUUUUUGUAAAUUCUGUUCAAUUACUCGAAUAUCUUUCGAUUAUCCAGGUAUCUGGAAUAUUCAACUCGAAAAUUUUGGUUCACAUAUUUUACCAAAAGCUAGAGCUAAUUUAAAUCAGCUUUACUAUAUAU
rnacentral:sRNA from 1 species